rnacentral:rRNA from 1 species
CCUGGAAACAGAUGCUAAUACCGGAUAACAACAGAUGAUGCCUAUCAACUGUUUUAAAAGGAUGGUUCUGCUAUCACUCUUGGAUGGACCUGCGGUGCAUUAGCUAGUUGGUAGGGUAACGGCCUACCAAGGCGAUGAUGCAUAGCCGAGUUGAGAGACUGAUCGGCCACAUUGGGACUGAGACACGGCCCAAACUCCUACGGGAGGCAGCAGUAGGGAAUCUUCCACAAUGGACGCAGGUCUGGUGGAGCAACGCCGCGUGAGUGAAGAAGGGUUUCGGCUCGUAAAGCUCUGUUGUUGGUGAAGAAGGACAGGGGUAGUAACUGACCUUUGUUUGACGGUAAUCAAUUAGAAAGUCACGGCUAACUACGUGCCAGCAGCCGCGGUAAAU